AAACUCAGCCCCGCCCCGCGAACCGCUCCGGCGGGUCGGGCGCCGCGGCGCCGCGGGGGGCUCUCGCGGGCCCCUCGCGGCGAUUCAGCGGGUCAAGCCCGGCCGUCUUGCCGUGCGCGCGCGGGCCGCCAAGGUCCGCGCGUGAGUCGUUCGCCCGGGCGGGGUGCACUUUUCCUUCGACAUAGUGCGUCGCGAUCCGUUGGUCGGCGGCCUUAGGGCCCGGUCGUCUCCUCGCCCGGCCGCGACGUCCCGUGGGGCGGUAAACGGUCGGGCGAGAGCGACCGGUGUGCGCGUUCAAUGAGCUGGCAGCUGUGAGGCGCCGGCGCGCGCGUCCCGGCCCGCCGUGUAAGACCGGUUCCGUAGGGGUUCCGGCAAUAACGACGGUCAUAGAAUUCGCGGAAGACGAACUGACCGUCCGUCCCUUCACGGGGGCGGGCGGCGGGUCCCUCCGGAUCUGAGCGUUGCUCAUCCUCGAAACCUGGCCGCGGAGGCGACAAUCCGGUAGGCGCCGCCUUAGCCGGCGACGCUCCGGGGAACGUCCCUCCGACCUGAACAGGCGUGGAUGGAGAGCGGAAGCUCACCGCCGCCACGGCCGGGGAGGUGACAGGAG
rnacentral:rRNA from 1 species